rnacentral:rRNA from 1 species
UACAGAGGUCUCAAGCGUUGUUCGGAUUCAUUGGGCGUAAAGGGUGCGUAGGCGGCGCGGUAAGUCGGGUGUGAAAUCUCGGAGCUUAACUCCGAAACUGCAUUCGAUACUGCCGUGCUUGAGGACUGGAGAGGAGACUGGAAUUUACGGUGUAGCGGUGAAAUGCGUAGAUAUCGUAAGGAACGCCGGUGGCGAAAGCGACACACUGGAUCUUGUCUGACGCUGAGGCACGAAAGCCAGGGGAGCGAACGGG